UCUGCCCAGUAUGCUAAGAAUUGGAAGGGUGCAUAUUUUCCGUAUAUCUUUUCAACAUCCCUUUGAACUGUUUGAAUUGUAGAAUCUUUGGCAUGGACCUGUUUUAGAUGCCUCACUGUUUCAGAAUCAGUAGGAAUAACAUGAUAAAAUCCCAUGCACAUAAGCACAUUUGCACGCGUGAAUGGACCAAACCCAUCAAUUUCUCUGAGCUGAUCAGCCAAUUUACUAUAGCUGGAUAUGCU
rnacentral:misc_RNA from 1 species